GUGCUCACUUUGGCAGCAUAUAUACUAAAACUGGAAUGAUACAGAGAAGAUUAGUAUGGCCCCUGCACAAGGAUGAUGCACAAAUUUGUGAAGUGUUCCAUACAAAA
ensembl:snRNA U6 U6 spliceosomal RNA